UACAGAGGAUGCAAGCGUUAUCCGGAAUGAUUGGGCGUAAAGCGUCUGUAGGUGGCUUUUUAAGUCCGCCGUCAAAUCCCAGGGCUCAACUCUGGACAGGCGGUGGAAACUACCAAGCUGGAGUACGGUAGGGGCAGAGGGAAUUUCCGGUGGAGCGGUGAAAUGCGUAGAGAUCGGAAAGAACACCGGUGGCGAAGGCGGCCUGCUGGGCAGUUUAGCUGACACUGAGGCGCGACAGCGUGGGGAGCAAACAGG
rnacentral:rRNA from 1 species